AACGAACGCUGGCGGCAGGCCUAACACAUGCAAGUCGAGCGCCCCGCAAGGGGAGCGGCGGACGGGUGAGUAACACGUGGGAAUUUUCCUCAAGGUACGGAACAACUCAGGGAAACUUGGGCUAAUACCGUAUGAUGCAGAGAUGCCAAAGAUUUAUCGCCUUGGGAUAAGCCCGCGUCAGAUUAGGUAGUUGGUGGGGUAAUGGCCUACCAAGCCUGUGAUCUGUAGCUGGUCUGAGAGGACGAUCAGCCACAUUGGGACUGAGACACGGCCCAAACUCCUACGGGAGGCAGCAGUGGGGAAUCUUGCGCAAUGGACGAAAGUCUGACGCAGCCAUGCGCGUGAAUGAUGAAGGUCUUAGGAUUGUAAAGUUCUUUAGCCUGUGACGAUGAUGACGUACAGGAGAAUAAGCCCGGNUAACUUCGU
rnacentral:rRNA from 1 species